GCAAACUCGGAUGCUAGAAAGGGGCUUCACUGACGGCUGCUGACAGAAGCCGCCCAGGAGAGCUGUGGUGUGAGGUACCUAUGUGAGCAAACGAGUCCACCACCAAACUUGUCCACAGCUACUUUCUGCUGAGGGGGGACGGAGGUGGAUUCCAACAAUAUUUUAUUGUGGGAAACCAGCAGUGGAAAGGAUGAAGAGAAGACUUCCAUCAUUAGAGGAACACCUCAGCCUGGAUCCCAGGAAACUGCUAUCAAAGGAGACACAGACCUCAUGAAGGGCAGGAGAGAGAAAUGCCAUACUGGAGAAUUCUCACAGGAUACCCUGAGGACAUUGGCAUCUUGAGUAUGUUUUGGCCCAGGAUUAGAAAAAUACAGUACUUGAACCAAGAAGGCAGCUUUUAGUGAACUGUUCCUCGAGGGCUCAUAUUAUUUAACACAUGUGGAUUAAUAUGUAUGUAAAACAAAAUGCAAAGGCACUAGAACAAAGAACCAGAGAGAGAAACUGCGGGGCGGCAUUGUAAAGCCACGGAGGAUGGCAAGCUAUAUUUAGCAGACAUGAAAGAAACCUCUUGUCUUUCUUGUGGACUCUAGAUACUCUGAAAGUAUUUGCUAAGGACAGGCAUCUAAGUGUCACUGGGGAGAGCACAUGAAAAAAGCUAGAGGUUUCCAGUCUUAGAAAACUAAAGAACUUUUUCCUUUGUUCCUGACUGCUCUUUGCCCUGUUGUUAUGUCGUUAUUUUGUAUUUACAAUGCCAUAGCCUUUUGUCACACAGAAUGCAGUAAAAAUUACAAAUAAGGCUGCCUGGCAACACACUGAAAUAUCACAAAAUGGGUUAGGAAGGAGCAAGGUUUAGUUUGAAUAAGAACCUGCUUAAGCUAUUAGCAAAUAUAAGGGAAGCUCUGUCUCUAACUACGGGCUGUCCCCCUGCUCUAGGAGCAUCAUCUGACCAUGCUCUAUUCACCUUUUUUUUAUCACCAAUACCCUGAGCUGAUUCCUGAGUCCCCUGAUCUGCUAUUUCCUCUACUCACAUUUUAUUUCUCAAGACCCAUCCCUGUUCCACGUAUUU